rnacentral:rRNA from 1 species
GAUCCUGGCUCAGAUUGAACGCUGGCGGCAGGCCUAACACAUGCAAGUCGAACGGUAACAGGAAGAAGCUUGCUUCUUUGCUGACGAGUGGCGGACGGGUGAGUAAUGUCUGGGAAACUGCCUGAUGGAGGGGGAUAACUACUGGAAACGGUAGCUAAUACCGCAUAACGUCGCAAGACCAAAGAGGGGGGACCUUCGGGGUCUCUUGCCAUCGGAUGUGCCCAGAUGGGAUUAGCUAGUAGGUGGGG